AUUGAACGCUGGCGGCAGGCCUAACACAUGCAAGUCGAGCGGCAGCACGGGUACUUGUACCUGGUGGCGAGCGGCGGACGGGUGAGUAAUGCCUAGGAAUCUGCCUAGUAGUGGGGGAUAACGUCCGGAAACGGGCGCUAAUACCGCAUACGUCCUACGGGAGAAAGUGGGGGAUCUUCGGACCUCACGCUAUUAGAUGAGCCUAGGUCGGAUUAGCUAGUUGGUGAGGUAAUGGCUCACCAAGGCGACGAUCCGUAACUGGUCUGAGAGGAUGAUCAGUCACACUGGAACUGAGACACGGUCCAGACUCCUACGGGAGGCAGCAGUGGGGAAUAUUGGACAAUGGGCGAAAGCCUGAUCCAGCCAUGCCGCGUGUGUGAAGAAGGUCUUCGGAUUGUAAAGCACUUUAAGUUGGGAGGAAGGGCAGUUACCUAAUACGUGAUUGUUUUGACGUUACCGACAGAAUAAGCACCGGCUAACUCUGUGCCAGCAGCCGCGGUAAUACAGAGGGUGCAAGCGUUAAUCGGAAUUACUGGGCGUAAAGCGCGCGUAGGUGGUUUGCUAAGUUGGAUGUGAAAGCCCCGGGCUCAACCUGGGAACUGCAUCCAAAACUGGCAAGCUAGAGUAUGGUAGAGGGUGGUGGAAUUUCCUGUGUAGCGGUGAAAUGCGUAGAUAUAGGAAGGAACACCAGUGGCGAAGGCGACCACCUGGACUGAUACUGACACUGAGGUGCGAAAGCGUGGGGAGCAAACAGG
rnacentral:rRNA from 1 species